GCCAGUGUUGUGUAGUGGUCUGAGUGUUGGACUAUAACUUUGGAGACCAGGGUUUGAUUCCCUGCUCAGCCA